AGUGAACGCUGGCGGUAGGCCUAACACAUGCAAGUCGAACGGCAGCACAGGAGAGCUUGCUCUCUGGGUGGCGAGUGGCGGACGGGUGAGGAAUACAUCGGAAUCUACCUUUUCGUGGGGGAUAACGUAGGGAAACUUACGCUAAUACCGCAUACGACCUACGGGGGAAAGUGGGGGACCGCAAGGCCUCACGCCAUUAGAUGAGCCGAUGUCCGAUUAGCUCGUUGGCGGGGUAAUGGCCCACCAAGGCGACGAUCGGUAGCUGGUCUGAGAGGAUGAUCAGCCACACUGGAACUGAGACACGGUCCAGACUCCUACGGGAGGCAGCAGUGGGGAAUAUUGGACAAUGGGCGCAAGCCUGAUCCAGCCAUACCGCGUGGGUGAAGAAGGCCUUCGGGUUGUAAAGCCCUUUUGUUGGGAAAGAAAUCCUAUCGAUUAAUACUCGGUGGGGAUGACGGUACCCAAAGAAUAAGCACCGGCUAACUUCGUGCCAGCAGCCGCCGUAAUAC
rnacentral:rRNA from 1 species